AGAGGGGACGGCGUCAGAAAAGGGAUGCCAGGGUGAGGGGCACAGCACGGUGCUGGCUGAGGUGGCGGGAAGGAGACAGGAAAGGACAAGGAGAGUGGAGAAUUCGUUGGCUCUGCCCUGCCCGACGAGUGAGGCGGAGGCCUUGGAGACAGCAGGGACAGCAGGGACAGCAGGGAUGGGGGCGGAUGUGGGGGAGCAGAGCCCGUGUCCCCACUCCCCGAGCAGCACAGAGCUGUGAGAGCCCGACGCGCCCGCAGCUGCACCGCGACACCGGCGGCACCUCCCUGGCGAGACACGGAGCUCUCGGAGGAGUGCGGGGCCGGGCCCGCUGCCCCCUGUGAGCUUCCCUUUGUCAUCCUAUGCCUGAGCGAUGCCUGGAGGCUGGGACGGCCAAGGGAGGCCCACGGGCUGCCACAGCCCCGCGGUGACAGCGCCUGGACAGCACACGUGGGACACGCACCGGGGCUGGGACAAGAGUCCUCGUGGGGCUGGGACCACCCUGCGGGACCGAAAUGUCCCCUUGGAGGGCCAGAGCAUCCCCGUGGGGGGCUGGGAGCAGCACCUCCGUGGUAAAAGCAUUGCCUUGUAGGGGCCAGAGCAUCCCCUUAGGACACCAGGAACAUCCUGGGGGGAUGAAAAAUCCCACUGAGGGAGCGGAACAUCCUGGAGGAGGGGCUGGGAUGCAUCCCCUUCAUGUGCCAGGAGGCCUUGGGAAGACAAAGCAUCCCCUUGGGGUGCCAGGAACAUCCUGAGGGGCUGGAAACACCCGUGGGGAGCUGGAGCAUCCCCCAGGGUGACUGGUACCCCGCUGGGCAAGGUGGGAUGCAGCAGCCAGGCCAUAGAUCCAGGAUGUGGAGGGGAUUAUGGGGUGUCACAGAGACCCCCUGUCUGGUGAGCAACUCCCAUGGGGGACAUGGACCGUGGGGGGUUACGUGUAGGGUGGUACCUGGAUGGGGUGCUGGGGGUACUGGCAGUACUGGGAGCGAUGUCACCAUCCUGAUCAGCCCAUCCCUGUGAAGAGAUGGCCCCGUGUGAGGAUGUUCUGGGAGCUCCAGGGAAGGCCCUGUUCUCCCAACUCUGUUUCCUUCUCCAACUUCACAAACCCCACCUGGCACCUCACGCUGAGACUGUGCUGGGACAGUGGAAAAGUUCCCACGUGGAUGGAGAGAAAAUCCCCCCCACGGGGAGCAGAAACUCGCCCUGGGGUGCUCGGAUGCGGUGAUGCAGAACAAGGAGCAGGGAGCGGGGCUCUGUGGGGGAAGGCUCUGGUCACCCCAGCAUCUCCAGCUGGUUUCCAUUGUUUUGGACUCUUCUCCCAAAACUCGAGCCCGUUCACCCAGCUGGGGGUUCACAGCAGGGCAGGGAGCAGCUGGGGGGGCAGGGCUGGAAGGUGGGGAUGAGAUUCCAGGGAAGCCCUCGAGCCCCAGGGCUGGAUGUGAGCUCUGCUCUGGGGAGUGAACCAGGAGCAUCCCCGUGGCAGCCCUGGAGCCACGUUCCUGGGCCACAUCCUCGUGUGGUCCCAGAUGUGUGGGGGACACCCAGCAGGGCGUGAGGUCACCCUGGCACCAGGGCAGGUGCCUGUGUCAACCAGCACAGCACAGUGUGGUGUCUCUCUGUCACAGGGGACAGGUCCUGUGUCGUUGUCACCCAGCACACUGCGGUGUCUCCCUGUCAUGGGGGCGAGUCCCUGUGUCACCCAGCAGCAGUAACAGUGUGGUGUCUCCCUGUCACCCCGUGUCACCCAGCACAGCGUGGUGUCUCCCUGUCACAGGGGACAGGUCACAGGUCCCUGUGUCACCCAGCACAGCGUGGUGUCUCCCUGUCACAGGGGACAGGUCCCUGUGUCCCCCAGCAGCAGGAAGGGCUGUGGCAGCGGUGGCUCCAGCCCCGACGCAGUGACAUCACCCUGCCUGGCUCUCCUGGGGAGGCAAGGGCCAAACCCCCAUCCCCCUUGUCCCUGCAGGGAUCGAGGUUGGUGACAGCCCCACCCUGUGCCCACCCCUGCCCCAGCUUGUCCCCCUCCUGAGCUGAAAUCAGGGGCUUUGGCUGUGAGACAGGGGGGCAGGAGGGUUGGGGACCCCUCAUUUCCCUGCAGAGGGUCAGGAGCUUUGAGGGGUUGAGGUCAGUUUUGGGGGUCCCAUGCUCAGUCAAGGAGGCUGGGGGGGGGUUUUAGGUCCUGAGCAGGGUUGGAGGGAUUCCUGUGGAGUGCUGAGCAGGAUGGGGGAACUUGGGGGUUGUUGCUUUCAGAGGAGCUGCCUCAGUGUGCAGAGGGACCCUCGGGACCUUUCCCAGUGCUGUUGACUGGGAGCUGAGUGGGCAUCCCAGUUAACUGAGCUUAGGUGGGGAGGCAAAAGCAUAGCCAAGACCAGCCUUGAGUUUGGGAAGCUUUUCCAUGUGGGGUCCUCCAGGUCUGGGCAGAAACAAGUAUUUUAUUUUAUGACUUAUUUUAUUGUUUAUUUUAUUUAGUUUAAUUUUGCUGGUUUGUCAGCUGAGGAAGCACAGGAUGAGAAUUAUAAGGCGGUGAAGUACCCCGUGUGUCUGUGCUUUUGUUUAUGUGUGUGUCUUUCUUGAGGCUUCUCUGUUACAGCUGAAGUUUUAUAAAAUAGAUUUAUCCAUACCAUAAAAAUAAAA